ensembl:snoRNA
AUCCUUCUUGGGAUUCAUAAAUGUGAUGAUUGAGUUUUCGUGUCACCAUGAGGGAUAGGCUUCUCUCAGACUGUGUUACAACAUCAGGACAUUACUUGUCUGACA